AUGAUGAACACUUAUGCACAGUUUGCGUAAAUCCGGGUUCUUCACUAAAUCUCAAUUGAUUUCUUCAUCUGGUUAUUGAUCACGAUAUUAUUUAGACUCAAAAUUUCACCUUUGAUUAACAGCUCUUUCAUUGAAGUUUCACUUUUGUGUAUGAAAGUGAUUAAUCUCCUACUUUUAUUCAGUAAUUUUAUUGACGGUUUGGGUUAAAUAAUGGAACCUUUGUUUAACUUAUACUUGAAUUCAAUUUUGGUUGGCCGUUUACAUGUUUCUAUUGUUGGAUUUAUUAAUCGAUCAACUUUGAUGUGUUUAGCCAGGUUGAUUUGGAAGACAUUAAUUGUAAAUGAAAUGAUUUAAUGUUGUUAUGGAUAAAGCAAAAACAGAUAAAAUAAGAACCUAAAUAAGAGUUGAAAGAUACUAACACUUUUAGUUGACACACUGACGUAAUUGUUGAAAGAUUAUAAAUUGUCAUUUGAGAAAGAGUUUCUUUACAGAGACUCCAUCUUGCUUGGAUUUUUCCCUCUCUUUUUGUUUUUAUUCAACGUUUGCUCGUUUAAUAGCCAUUUUUAUCCAGUUUAUUUUUUCAACCUAAUUUAGUUAUUUCAUUAUUUUAUUGAUACGUUUUAUUUUAUUAUUGUACUUCAAUACAUGGUAACAUGAAGGACCUAACUAACUGUGAAAGUGACCUGAACAGCAAAAAACCAGGAAUUGGAGCUGGAUCGCUGUCUAUUUUACCUGCUUAUUUUGAAUUAUCUGUUUUUUGGUGACUUCGUGAUCAAGCAACCCAAUGAGAUUUUCCUGUUUAAUCAAUGUCAAUCCUGGGGCGAAUUGGUUCCAUUUAUCGACAUCGUCGUCUAAUCUUAAGUAUGACGAUUCGUACUAUGAUGGCGUUUUUCUGUGCCUACCAGUUGCGCUCAAUAACGGAAACUUAUAUACGUGGAGAAACAAUAUCCAAAGUUAAUCUUUCUUUUCCUGAAUUUCUGACCCUUCCGAGUGUUACAUUGUGUUUUGAUUUUAUUGAUACUCUCAAUGUUACUCGUUUGUCAGGUGAUUACCCUUACAUUCUUAAAACUUUACAAAGUCGAGAUCUCAUUGAUGAUUAUGUCACUCGUCAUUCCCAUCUUCCAGAGCUAUACUACCUUCUGGGUAAUCAUAGCUUAGCCUCGAUGAAAGGCUAUAUGAAUGAUAAUAUUGAUUUUUUGUUGGCUAAAAUAACACCCACCCAAUUAGAACCUGAUGAUGGUUUAAAGGUAAAUUGUAAUGUUACACGCUACCUGAUUGAACCCAAUUUCUGUCAUACAAUAACCUGUUAUCAUGUUGAUAGUGAUGAACCAGCUAAAUAUCCUCGAAGUACGAUAUUUGAGCCUCGUUAUGGUGGAAGAAUGUUGAUAAUUGAAUUAGAAAGCUGGGUUGGAAAUCUGACAAAAUCCAUGUCGAUACACUUUACUGUUCAAUCAUCAUUACUCUAUAGUACCCGAACUUCAAGCUAUCUAAUUGACCUGACACAUCCACCAACCACAUUCACUGUUUCAUAUUCGAUGAUUCGCAAUGAUUUAGAUUCUAUUGCAUCUGAAACAAAAUGUCUGCCCUCUGGUUCAUUUAGAGAAGGGACUGGUAAUAGGAAUCAACGAUUUUAUUGGUGUAUCAAUGAAUUGAUUCGUUCUUCAUUUGGAUGCUCAAGUUACGGGUCAGCUCAAGAUUUUGAUGAUCCAAAUAUGUUUCACCUUAAACUUGGUUAUCAUCAAUACUAUCGCGAAUUCUUAUCCUCAAACUUAACCCAACGAGAUAUCGAUCGAGCAAAAAUCAAAAAGAUUAGACAACAAUGUAUUAGUCAACUUAAAGCUCCUAACUGCAUUGAUGAAAUUUAUUCACCAAUCGGCGAUUCGUUCAGUGUGAAGGAUAAAUCUGAUUAUACCAUUAUAGUUGAUGCGCCGUCAGUUCCUUUUGAGAAUAAUGAAUUUUCCCUUGAAAUUGCUCUUCUUGAUUACCUUAUUUAUAUAAGUUCAUCCCUCAACUUUUGGUUUGGUAUUUCAAUUAUAUCAGUUGUUGAUCAUUUUAUCACAACUUUAUUCGAAUGGAUUGAUUCAAAGAAAUUGAAAAGUAAAGAAACAAAACCGCCAUCUCCGAGUCCACAAUUUAAAGCAAAGAUUGUCGUUCAACCAAUUCGUUCACGAGUUUUAACCAAAUUCAAUUCUCUCAAUAGAGAAAGGUUUUCUCAUUACUAUUCCAGAUACCACAGCAUUAAUCAGCAGUAAGCGCUGACUUGUUCUUUGCACAAAAUUGUAAUGUUUAUCUAGACUCCAACAUUAAGCUUGUAUAAACUGCUGCUUUGCUUCAUCUGAAUCCAUUCAAAGUCAAGCUAUUGAAUUAACAAAAAAUCUAAUUAGCAUGCAAAAUCAAUAAACUGCUUGGCAUUCAAUUUAUAAGUUAAAUUGGAAUCUAAUUUUUUUGAAUAAAAUUACUAAAAUUCUGAUGAAAAAUUUCAUAUUCUGUUAUUUAUUAGCAAUAUUUACAAAAUUGCCGAGAUUUGCAAUUGAUGGAUAAAAUUUUCUUUUAAAUUGCUAUAAAUUAAAUUAACGUCUUAAGAUUAGUCGUCUAGCCUCAGGUCUUAAAAGACCUUUGCUUUAUUUUCAAACCUGGUUGAAGCUUUUCCGUUUCCUCCUUUUCAGGUGACAAGGUUUACAUUUGCUCGAAACCAGAAGGCUUAAUGUUUUCCUUUGUGUUGUGUUUUAUUUUCCCUCUCUUUGUUACCUAUGUCAUUCUGAUAUUUUUUAUUCUUCAGUUCACAAAUUAUAUUCUAUUAAUGAUGAAGUUAUCUCUUUCUAAACUGUUUAAAAAGCGUACAUGGUUGCGUUCAAAACAAAAAGAAGCUAAAGUUACUUCUAAAACCAGUGGAAGUGAUAAGACAAACAAAGUGACAAUCAAAGUCCGGUUUACUGAUGGCGAUUAUAGUGAGAUUACAGCUGACACAACAAAUUAUCAGACUAUGUUUGACCAGCUGUCGAAAUUAACCGGUUUUGGCCUUGAGGACACUUAUGGGUGUCGUUUCAAUACUUUUGAAAGUCACAAAUAUAAUGGAUGUCUAUAUUUGUUCAACAAUCGCUUCGUUAAAAACAACGGCCAUGAAAUGUGGACCGGUUUCGAGGAUAAACAGCUGGGUAAAUAUGUGAACUUACAGGAUGGUACUCAAUUUACGUUGGGAGUUUAUUACGAUCUUCAUGAUCGAGUUAUUAUAAAAUAUCAUCUUGUCGAUGAAACUAUCCCCGAUGGAAAUGAUCUGAUCAAAAAGAAAUACUUUACGCACAAACAUUUACUCCAAGUGAAGGAAAUGAUAAAAAAUGAUUCGUCAAGUGAAUACAUAAAGAAUUGUCAAAACAGGGCUGUUUUGUACCUUGACUCACCCAUGAGAUACAAUUGACAACGCUCUUUUAUCAACUUGAAUCUAGUCAAUUAUACUCAUUUUUUCGACAAGAAUUUUUGUUUCUUUUGUUGCCGAAGAAUUAAAACCAAUUGAUAAUCUUUACAUCAAAGCUUUGCUCUUCCAUGAGAUUAUUGGUGUUGAUACAAAUACAGCUGUUAAUCCAGCCAAUCUGCAAAAAUAUGGAACUGCUCCCGGAUAUUUUCAAAAGGCUUAUUUCUUCAUUUUUCGGUUUCAUCUCUGGUUUUAAGCUCAAGCUUAACAAAUACUCUAUUGGAUUUAUUUAACUCGUGAUCUCUUUGUCUUCAUCAAAUUAAUUUUCAUAAUACUAUUUGGAGCUUCUCUCGAUUAAAACGCUCAUUGUGUGAUCAA